rnacentral:rRNA from 1 species
UACAGAGAGUGCAAGCGUUAAUCGGAAUUACUGGGCGUAAAGCGCGCGUAGGUGGAUAUCUAAGUCGGAUGUGAAAGCCCCGGGCUUAACCUGGGAAUUGCAUUCGAUACUGGGUAUCUAGAGUAUGGUAGAGGGAAGUGGAAUUUCCGGUGUAGCAGUGAAAUGCGUAGAUAUCGGAAAGAACACCAGUGGCGAAGGCGGCUUCCUGGACCAAUACUGACACUCAAGUGCGAAAGCGUGGGGAGCAAACAGG